rnacentral:lncRNA from 1 species
AUCAAAAAGAGUACACUGAAGCAAUGAAAUUUAUUAAUAAACAUUUAACUAUAAUUAUUACCGACUAAUAACAUGUUCUUGAACAUGUUUCAAAUGGCCAACCUAGAGUACAUGCACAUAUAUAUUUGUUAAAUUUUUGGCUACAUAGCACAUUAUAACUUCCGUGAGAUAAAGAACAUUUAGAGACCUUAUCACCUCAUUAUUUCUUCUAACACUCUCUGCUCUUUUUCUUACUUCACGCCCGCUGCCAUUGCAUCUUCUAAUCUGUCAUCCAUGUCACUUUAUCCUCCCUGAGUCAUUCUUAUUUCCGAAGAUAUUCACCUUCACAUGAGUGCCGGAUUACGAAAUCAACACACGGAUAUCACUCAUGCUUGUCUUUGCAAAUAUUAAAGGAAGUACGAAAACUACACAAAAAUAGGAGACGAUGGUUGCAGCUCACUUAUAGUUUGGACUUGCUGUCCUAUAUCUUCUAGACAAUGUAUAUGGCCUAGAUAUGCAAAACACUAUCAGUUCAACUAUUUUCCAUCAGUAGCAUUCGAAAUCUAAAUCAUGUAAUGGUCCUGUGUAACUCUAACAGCUAACAAAUAAACCUUUUUUCUAAUAUAAGAUAUUACAAUAAAUUUCAGUCCAGUUCUCCCUAUUGUAGGAUUAUCCGUUUAUAUACCUAGUACUAUAGGAUUAUUUGUUUAUACAUAAGUUAAUCUAAAUAGCAUGCAAUUUAAUUUCAUGGACAUUUUCUAACUCUAAUAAAUAAAGUGAAGUAAUUGCAAGCCAGCGUCAUGGAGGAUUGGCUGCAUGGGGCAGAUCAUGGGGGCACGGAUAUGCUCGAGGGCGCGCGGCCAGGACUCGAGGGGACAGGGGCGUCGGGACUCCCAUGCGGCAGCCGGACGGGGCAUAUCAAGGCUAAUUAACUCUCUAGAAAUUCAUUGGGGAUGAACAAGCUUCAAAUUGAACCAGAAAACACAACAAUGCAGUACAGAAUAAAGGAGAUGCAUAUCACCUGAACAUGACUCAAACCAGAGUACUAGCCACCAGAGUAUAGUGUAUCAGGCUCAAAUAAGAGCUCCACUGCAGACAUCCACCCAUGUAAACUUGCUGCUCCUCAGAUCCAUUCACGUCCUCUCCCCCACA